rnacentral:rRNA from 1 species
AACGAACGCUGGCGGCAGGCUUAACACAUGCAAGUCGAACGCUCGGAGCAAUCCGGGAGUGGCGGACGGGUGAGUAACGCGUGGGAACGUGCCCUGAGGUAGGGAAUAACUGCGGGAAACUGCAGCUAAUACCCUAUGAGCCCAUAGCAAUAUGGGGAAAGAUUUAUCGCCUUGGGAGCGGCCCGCGUCGGAUUAGCUAGUUGGUGGGGUAACGGCCUACCAAGGCUUCGAUCCGUAGCUGGUCUGAGAGGACGAUCAGCCACACUGGGACUGAGACACGGCCCAGACUCCUACGGGAGGCAGCAGUGGGGAAUCUUGCGCAAUGGGCGAAAGCCUGACGCAGCCAUGCCGCGUGAACGAU